GCUAACUACAUGCCAACACCCGCGGUAAUACGGAGGGGGCAAGCGUUGUUCGGAAUUACUGGGCGUAAAGAGUGCGUAGGCGGUGCUGUAAGUCCGGUGUGAAAUCUCCCGGCUCAACUGGGAGGGUGGGCCGAGAACUGGAGUGCUCGAGUGUGGGAGAGGAAAGCGGAAUUCCUGGUGUAGCGGUGAAAUGCGUAGAUAUCAGGAGGAACACCUGUGGUGAAGACGGCUUUCUGGACCAUUGCUGACGCUGAGACACGAAAGCGUGGGGAGCAAACAGGAUUAGAUACCCUGGUAGUCCACGCCCUAAACGAUGCAUACUUGGUGUCGGCCAUUCGGUUGGUCGGUGCCCGAGCUAAC
rnacentral:rRNA from 1 species